rfam:Salmo salar isolate Sally breed double haploid chromosome ssa07, whole genome shotgun sequence.
UUUGUAGCUCAGUUGGUAGAGCAUGGCACUUGUAACGCCAGGGUCGUGGGUUCGAUUCCCAUAUGUAAAA